rnacentral:rRNA from 1 species
UACGUAGGGGGCAAGCGUUGUCCGGAUUUAUUGGGCGUAAAGAGCGUGUAGGCGGCUUUACAGGUCCGUUGUGAAAACUCGAGGCUCAACCUCGAGACGUCGGCGGAAACCCUCUGGCUAGAGUCCGGAAGAGGAGAGUGGAAUUCCUGGUGUAGCGGUGAAAUGCGCAGAUAUCAGGAAGAACACCCGUGGCGAAGGCGGCUCUCUGGGACGGUACUGACGCUGAGACGCGAAAGCGUGGGGAGCAAACAGG